rnacentral:lncRNA from 1 species
AGCUGAAAAUCCUUUGAGAUGGAAGAAAUGGCUGGAACAAAGGGGCAGAGGAACAAAAAGCCCUGAACUGCUUCGCCCCUGCCUCGUGGGGUCUUUAUCAUCUUAAACCUUGGGAUUUGGGCUUUGAUCAACUCGGCCUUCCUGGGCCUCGGGGAGAGAGACGGACUGCCUCCGGGUGCUCAUGACCUUUCCAGCAGUAAGCCAAUAAUGUAUGACUCCUGCGUUGCCGUUGCUCGUUUGAGGAACAUCUGUCCAGUCCCUGGGAUGGUGAGGCUAUAACCACAAAGGAAUAAGAGAAGACGACUAGUUUUGUAAUGGGGACAUUGGCUGCUGUCUUCUGACCCACCCUGUGUGGCUUUGGCGUCUCCUGUGACCUCCCAGUAUGGGUCUUGGCCUCAUCCUGCCUCUUUGUCUUUCUGGCCCACCACCCACAGCUUGAAUCUCAGGCUCCAACAGUUGCCUGACCCCCAGAUUCUGAUGACAGCCUACCUACUUGUUCUUCAGGCCCUCACCAGACUCACUGCCCAGACACACCACACAGGAGAACAUGAAAGGUGUACCCUUGCUGUAGAUGCCACCCGCCCAGCAGUCCUCAUCAUCUUGGCCCAGGAUCACCUGAAACAGAUGAUCCUCCUUUUGAGCUACCAUCAGAAGGUCCACAGUACUAGCCCAGCGCUACAUCCCAAUGCCUACGCCAUUCAUCUCACCUCAUCUCAUCACGUAGACAUUUCAUCAUGUCACAUCAUCACAAGAAGGGAAUCUAUUCACAAAUAAGGUUUUGUGGAUUCAACAGCUUUACUGAAGAUAUGUAGAUUGUUGUUAGCGCUUCCUACCUUGCACAGCCUCUUGUCCCGUCACUGGCCCCAUGCAUCUUCCUCUGCUGCCUUCAAGAAGCUCCAGAUCCUGCCACAGACGUGCUCCACUCAGAGGACUGGAGUCCAAUCCCCUGACAGUGCUUUUCUCUUUGGGAAGCACCCCCUCCCCCACUGCCAUUAAACCUCUGGAAUUCUAUGGAAUAAAGUAAACAUUAACUUA